UCCAAUUGAAAGUUGCUAGCUUCUGAACC
rnacentral:piRNA from 1 species